rnacentral:misc_RNA from 1 species
UUUCCGUAGGUGAACCCGCGGAAGGAUCAUUACUGAGUGAGGGCCCCUCGGGGUCCAACCUCCCACCCGUGUUUAACGAACCUUGUUGCUUCGGCGGGCCCGCCUCACGGCCGCCGGGGGGCAUUUGCCCCCGGGCCCGCGCCCGCCGAAGCCACCUGUGAACGCUGUCUGAAGUAUGCAGUCUGAGACAAUUAUUAAAUUAAUUAAAACUUUCAACAACGGAUCUCUUGGUUCCG